UACGUAGGGUGCAAGCGUUAAUCGGAAUUACUGGGCGUAAAGCGUGCGCAGGCGGUUGUGCAAGACAGAUGUGAAAUCCCCGGGCUCAACCUGGGAACUGCAUUUGUGACUGCAUGGCUAGAGUACGGUAGAGGGGGAUGGAAUUCCGCGUGUAGCAGUGAAAUGCGUAGAUAUGCGGAGGAACACCGAUGGCGAAGGCAAUCCCCUGGACCUGUACUGACACUGAGGCACGAAAGCGUGGGGAGCAAACAGG
rnacentral:rRNA from 1 species